rnacentral:rRNA from 1 species
AACGAACGCUGGCGGCAUGCCUAACACAUGCAAGUCGAACGAGACCUUCGGGUCUAUUGGCGCACGUGUGCGUAACGCGUGGGAACCUGCCCUUAGGUUCGGAAUAACUCCCCGAAAGGGGUGCUAAUACCGGAUAAUGUCUUCGGACCUAAGAUUUAUCGCCUUUGGAUGGGCCCGCGUUGGUUUAGUGAGUUGGUAGGGUAAAAGCCUACUAAGGCGUGGUUCCAUAGCUGGUCGGAGAGGAGGAUAAGCCACACUGGGACUGAGACACGGCCCAGACUCGUACGGGAGGCAGCAGUGGGGAAUAUUGGACGAGGGGCGAAAGCCUGAUCCAGCAAUGCCGCGUGAGUGAUGAAGGCCUUAGGGUUGUAAAGCUCUUUUACCCGGGAUGAUAAUGACAGUACCGGGAGAAUAAGCACCGGCUAACUACGUG